rnacentral:rRNA from 1 species
UCCGUAGGUGGAUAAUUAAGUCAGAGGUGAAAUCCUGCAGCUCAACUAUAGAAUUGCCUUUGAAACUGGUUAUCUUGAGUCAUUAUGAAGUGGUUAGAAUGUGUAGUGUAGCGGUGAAAUGCAUAGAUAUUACACAGAAUACCGAUUGCGAAGGCAGAUCACUAAUAAUGUACUGACACUGAUGGACGAAAGCGUGGGUAGCGAACAGGAUUAGAUACCCUGGUAGUCC